UACGAAGGGGGCUAGCGUUGUUCGGAAUUACUGGGCGUAAAGCGCGCGCAGGCGGUCCUUCAAGUCAGAGGUGAAAGCCCAGAGCUCAACUCUGGAAUGGCCUUUGAGACUAGAGGACUUGGGUACGGGAGAGGUGAGUGGAAUUCCGAGUGUAGAGGUGAAAUUCGUAGAUAUUCGGAAGAACACCAGUGGCGAAGGCGGCUCACUGGCCCGUUACCGACGCUCAGGCGCGACAGCGUGGGGAGCGAACAGG
rnacentral:rRNA from 1 species